UAAAGAUUGAAAGGGAGGGGGCUGGUCUAGAUCUGAUGGUCAGAGGCAGUGGUAUUUGAGCCAAGAUCUGCAUGGAGGAGGGAAUAAGUCCAGGGAAUAUCUUGGGAAGAUCAGAGUAAAGGUCUUAGCAGGUGGCCUUCUUCCCUCCCUACGUGUUCUCAAAGGAAAACUUGACCAUUUUGCUCCCUGAAAAAAAAAUCCAUGGAUUCCCUUUGGUCACAGGAUAAGAACCACUCUGCGCCAUAUCCUACAGGCAAUGGAGGCUGCAAAUUUCAGCAUGGAAGAAAUUUAGAGAUGACAGCAUUGCUGCGAGAGGAGAGUAUGGACGGCAACUUUAAGAUACAAUCACGUGGAUUUCAUAGUGGUGACGCAAUCAUGCCUUUUACAGACAGUGAGCGAUACCUAGGAAUAUGUGUGUGCACACACAUAAUUCAACUGCAGUGUGACUGAGUAAAAUUCUCCUGGUUGCUUCAGAGUUA